GACGAACGCUGGCGGCAUGCCUUACACAUGCAAGUCGAACGGACCUAGCAAUAGGUUAGUGGCGAACGGGUGAGUAAUACAUGAGCAACCUGCCUCAAACAGGGGGAUAACACCGGGAAACUGGUGCUAAUACCGCAUAAGACCACAGCGCGGCAUCGCGCAGGGGUAAAAACGAUUCAGUGGUUUGAGAUGGGCUCAUGUCCCAUUAGCUAGUUGGUGAGAUAACAGCCCACCAAGGCGACGAUGGGUAGCCGACCUGGGAGGGUGAUCGGCCACAUUGGGACUGAGACACGGCCCAGACUCCUACGGGAGGCAGCAGUGGGGAAUAUUGGGCAAUGGGCGAAAGCCUUACCCAGCAAUGCCGCGUGAGUGAAGAAGGUCUUCGGAUUGUAAAGCUCUUUGAUCAGGGACGAACACAAUGACGGUACCUGAAGAACAAGCCCCGGCUAACUACGUGCCAGCCGCCGCGGUAACAC
rnacentral:rRNA from 1 species